UAUUGAUUUCUUUCUCCGACAUCUCACUGAUUAUAGAUGAGGUAUCAGUAGCGAAAAUAUUGAAGGUUGAAAAGGAUUACAAGCUUUUUGUCGAGGAAUACAUCUUUAAUUUUGAGGGUGACUUCAUACCACCCAGAUCCUGUGGAGGUAAUAAAGACAUCGUGCAAGUGUUGCGGGGAAGGCCUUUUCCAAUCAUACUAUUGCUCUGCUUUAUCAGAUUGCCCAUUAAAGCACCAUGGGCUUUAAAACAGUCUCUCUCCCAGCAGCAUGUUCUGUUAUAGUUUGUUUUUUGUGGAAAUAUGGAAUUUUCUAAAUAAACUUGUAUUCUUUG